UCAGCUCGCAUUGAUUACGUCCCUGCCCUUUGUACACACCGCCCGUCGCACCUACCGAUUGAAUGAUUCGGUGAAAAUUCUGGACUGUGGCUCGGACGCCUUCGGGCGACCUUGCUGUGGGAAGUUAUUUAAACCUCAUCAUUUAGAGGAAGGUGAAGUCGUAACAAGGUUUCCGUAGGUGAACCUGCGGAAGGAUCAUUACCACACCCUCAAAUA
rnacentral:rRNA from 1 species